UACAGAGGGGGCAAGCGUUGUUCGGAAUUACUGGGCGUAAAGGGCGCGUAGGCGGCCUUCUAAGUCGAACGUGAAAUCCCUGGGCUCAACCCAGGAACUGCGUCCGAUACUGGAAGGCUUGAAUCCGGGAGAGGGAUGUGGAAUUCCAGGUGUAGCGGUGAAAUGCGUAGAUAUCUGGAGGAACACCGGUGGCGAAGGCGGCAUCCUGGACCGGUAUUGACGCUGAGGCGCGAAAGCUAGGGGAGCAAACGGG
rnacentral:rRNA from 1 species